UCCCCCUCCUUUAGAAAACCCUAGAUUUCCCAUUGUUCAUCAUUCUCCUGCUUCAACCUCUUUAAUCCAUCAAUCUCUACCGUAACCCAAUUGAUUUAACCAUCAGGUACAUAGUUAGUAUUGCUCAUUUUCUCGAUUUGAAACCCUAUGGUUGACUCAAACGCAUUUUCCCAAUUUGAAACCCUCUCGAAAACAUUCCUCUGUUCGAAUUUGACCACCGUUUGUACUCCGACCAAGUCUUGUCGGCAUCAAUCGGGAUGGGGUUUUACAUGGGAAUAUGAUAUUGUAACCAAAGUUGGUGUGGCUUUACCUAUACAGCUCAGUUUCGCUACCCUUGACUUGGAGUUGCAUAGUAAGUAUGUUCGUAUGGCUUUAGAAGGGCAGCCUACUAUUGUUGUGGAUGAUUUAUUUGUUGUGGAUCACUUCAUUCUAAACCCGCAGACAAGAAGGGUAGCACCGCUAUUCAUAUGGCUACCAGGAACUGUCGAUCAAAGGUGUUUGGUGGAACAUGGCGAUGUGGCUGACGAGCCAUUGUUAUAGUUGUAGAGGAAUGACCGGAAUUGGUCAUUCCGGGUCGGUCAAAUCCGUGAUAAACACAUUACAAAUAUACAUACAAAUUUUGAACCUCUUUCAUCUAAUGGCUGACUCUUAACAUUCCCGCUAUAGCUUCGGAUCUUGAAAAGGGCAUAUUAAAGGUACACCCAAUUCCAUCUUUCCUAUAAUUUUAUUUUUGUAAAUAUAAUUAAACUAUAACCGGGGCCCGCAAUCCGGUUAUAACUUGGAUCUUUGUUAUUCUUUGUUAAUUUUUACUAAGGGAAAGGUUUUGGCAACUCAAAGGAUAUGCAUCUUCAAAGGGACUCGACUAUCUUUAAAUUGUAUUUCCACUUUGUCACUAAUUUAUGUAAGAUGAGACUUUGUAUUUUGUUUUGUUUGUACACUUAAUAUUUAUCUAAUUAAUUUUCUCCAGCCCGGGAAGCAAUCCCGGGUGAUAACCUA